rnacentral:lncRNA from 1 species
UGAAACAGUUCAUUCCCCACCGGCGCAUUUCUUGUGAACCUAAGAAAAGCGAGGGGCUGAGCGAUCGUUUGUCGUGGUCUUCUUCAGUUUCACGCCCCUUCGGAUGGCGUUCAGCAUGUCUUCUCCUUGUGGAGUAUCCCUUGGGCUCAGGUCUGCAGGGUCACUCUCUGGAAUCUGGCCUGGGGAGACAGUGGCACUUGGGGGUUCCCGUUCCUGGUCUU